AUAGGAAAAAUAAUAUUUUUCAUCAAAAUAAAAUUUAUCAUAGGAAGUAGAAACAUUUUUUGUGCACUCAUGCUCCUACAUUUUAUUUAUUGUGCUGAGUGGUUUUACUAAAGUUCAAAAGUAGUUCAAAGUGAUUUUAGAAUGGGUUUGAAAAUGGCUUUGGAAUGGAAGAAAAGAAAAUAGAAAAUAAAAAGACAAAACCCCUUCACCCUCUUUCUGGCCCGAAGGCCCAAAACCCUCCUUUCCUCUCCCCUCUCACUCCGGCCCCGCUCUCGGCCCAGCCAAGCAGGCCAGCCGCGGCCCAGCUUCCACCCAGCGCAGCUCCCUCCCCUCCCCAUAUCCUCUCUGGCGCACCUGGCCCACACGGCAGCGCCCUUCUCCCUCUCUUCUCUCACCGACAACCUGGACCCACC
rnacentral:lncRNA from 1 species